AGAGGACGCUGGGUAAUCGCCGUCGCUGUCUGUCUGACAUGGCCGGGGGUGGAGGGACGCGGAGCAGGAGGACAUUGUUAGAAGUUGAAGCGUUGGUAUUAGACGCCAGCAGGCCAGACCAUCAGCUAGACCCAAAUACUCCUUUUGUUUACUCAUGAGAACAGUCCCAUUUGUUGAAAAAAAUACUGGAAUGAAGAAUGAUUUUCAUGA